rnacentral:tRNA from 1 species
GAUUAGGUGGCUGACGAAUAGCGGUUGAUUGUAAAUCAUCUUAUGGGAUAGUUCCCUCUAAUCA